UGGGAAUUUUGGACAAUGGGCGCAAGCCUGAUCCAGCCAUGCCGCGUGCGGGAAGAAGGCCUUCGGGUUGUAAACCGCUUUUGUCAGGGAAGAAAUCUUCUGAGUUAAUACCUCGGGAGGAUGACGGUACCUGAAGAAUAAGCACCGGCUAACUACGUGCCAGCAGCCGCGGUAAUACGUAGGGUGCAAGCGUUAAUCGGAAUUACUGGGCGUAAAGCGUGCGCAGGCGGUUUUGUAAGACAGAGGUGAAAUCCCCGGGCUCAACCUGGGAACUGCCUUUGUGACUGCAAGGCUUGAGUGCGGCAGAGGGGGAUGGAAUUCCGCGUGUAGCAGUGAAAUGCGUAGAUAUGCGGAGGAACACCGAUGGCGAAGGCAAUCCCCUGGGCCUGCACUGACGCUCAUGCACGAAAGCGUGGGGAGCAAACAGGAUUAGAAUACCCUGGUAGUCCACGCCCUAAACGAUGUCAACUGGUUGUUGGGAAGGUUCCUUCUCAGUAACGUAGCUAACGCGUGAAGUUGACCGCCUGGGGAGUACGGCCGCAAGGUUG
rnacentral:rRNA from 1 species